rnacentral:rRNA from 1 species
UACGAAGGGGGCUAGCGUUGUUCGGAAUUACUGGGCGUAAAGCGCACGUAGGCGGAUUCCUAAGUCAGGUGUGAAAUCCCGGGGCUCAACCUCGGAACUGCAUUUGAAACUGGGAAUCUAGAGACCAGGAGAGGUUAGCGGAAUACCGAGUGUAGAGGUGAAAUUCGUAGAUAUUCGGUGGAACACCAGUGGCGAAGGCGGCUAACUGGACUGGUACUGACGCUGAGGUGCGAAAGUGUGGGGAGCAAACAGG